rnacentral:rRNA from 1 species
GGAAUAUUGGUCAAUGGACGGUAGUCUGAACCAGCCAAGUCGCGUGCGGGAAGAAGGCCCUCCGGGUCGUAAACCGCUUUAGCCGGGGAGUAACGUGGGGGACGCGUCCCUCCGUGAGAGUACCCGGAGACUAAGCAUCGGCUAACUCCGUGCCAGCAGCCGCGGUAAUACGGAGGAUGCGAGCGUUAUCCGGAUUUAUUGGGUUUAAAGGGUGCGCAGGCGGCGAGUCAAGUCAGCGGUCAAACUGCGGCGCUCAACGCCGUACCGCCGUUGAAACUGGCGCGCUCGAGUUUGUGCGAGGAUGGCGGAAUGCGCAGUGUAGCGGUGAAAUGCAUAGAUAUUGCGCAGAACUCCGAUUGCGAAGGCAGCUGUCCAGCACACUACUGACGCUCAUGCACGAAAGCGUGGGUAUCGAACA